rnacentral:sRNA from 1 species
UUAUAAAUGCCUGUAUCAGAAUGAGGACUUAAAGAUUUGUUUCUCCUCUGGUGAACCACAGGUACAGUAUCUGGUAAGUUAUCUUAUCCUUAGAUGAGCUUCUUGGGAUUUGUUUCCUGUGUGUUUGUUCAGGGGUCAUUCAGAGAUACAGAAUUUGUAUACAAUGUAUGGGACUCCUCUCUGUGGCUUUCUCCUUUCCUGGAUAUAUCGCUUCAAUUUUCAACUAUGGUGUUAGCCCCAAACUUCAUCUUUUGAUUUCCUAAGCAAGUAGGACUGAAUAUUUCUAUCCAAAUUCUAGCUGCCCUGUGGCUAGAAAAGCUUUUAAAGUGGAGAACUCUAUCAGUGAUUUUUUUUUCUUUCAGCUAUCUACUUUCCUCUACAUCUGUUUGUUUUUAGUGACUUUCCAUUUUUUUCACAUAGUUGUUUUUGUGUUUUUUCAAAUGAUUUUACUGAAGUUUGCAGUUGUUUUCUGUAAGAAGUUUAGUCCAAUAUAAGCUACUUCACAAUCACUAGAAACUGAACCUACAUUUUUAGUGUGGUCAGAAUUGUCCUCACUGAUGUUAAUCAAGUUUAGCCUAAAGCUGCCUCCUUACAUAUUUAAGUUCAGCCUAAAGGUUUUUCUGUAUAUUGUGAACUAUAACAAGUGGAGGUGUAAACCAAUCGUGGCCCACACCUGUGCCAAUCACUGAGUUUUGGCCAAUCAAGUGUAGCCAGCUGCUCGAACCAUGUUCAAAUAAGGCAAACACUGAGCUAUAACUAAUCCAGUUGUUUCUGUACCUCACUUCUGAUUUCUGUGUGUCCUGUCCCUUUUUUUGUCUAUAAAUCUUCUACCAUGUGGCUGUGCUGGAGUCUCUCUGAAUCUGCUGUGAUUCUGGGGGGCUUCCCAAUUCAUUAAUUGUUCAUUGCUCAAUUAAACAUCUUUAAAUUUAAUUUGGCUGAACUUUUUCUUUUAAUAGUGAGAAUGUGGUAUUUAAGAAAACAUUUGAAAGAAGGGAGGGAUUUAGCCUAGGUGACAGUUCUUUUUUAGGAAAGCCUUCCAGGCAGAUAGAAAGCUAUAGCUAAGGUGGCAAAAUGCCUCAUGUUUUCAGGGAACACCAAGGGGACCAGCUUGAUGCUUAUAGAUUGAGAGAAGACGAGAGUAACCAGUGAUGGGCUUAGACACAUAGCUAUGGUUUUGGUGCAGUAAAAAUCAUGUAGAGCCUUGUUUGCAAUUGUUAAGGUAAUAACAUUGCAGGGUUUUGAGAAAAGCAAUGUGAUCAAAUAUGCAUUUCAAAGGUAUAACUCUAUUGCUGUUUUGUGAAUAAAUUGUAUGGUUGCAUGUAUAGAAGAAGGAAACGAAUUAGGAGGCUGUUUCAAGAAUUGACAGGAAGAAUAAUGUUCACUCAAAGCAGAGUAGUAUCAUGAACAUGGUGAGACUGAUAAAGUGCUAGAUAUAUUAUUAUGAAGAAAGCCAACAGAUUUUCCAAUGGUUUGGAUGUUAGGUGUGAGAGAAAGAGGGAUAUUUAAGAUGACUCCAGGUUUUCUUGGCAAGUAGCACAGAAGGAUGGGUUUCCCAUUGUGAACCCCGAAAAUUUGAAACAAGUGUCAGUUUAUUUUGCCAAGGUUGAAGACAUGCACCCAUGAGACAGCCUCAGAGUCCUGAAAACAUGUGCCCAAGGUAGUUGGGCCACAGCUUGGUUUUAUACAUUUUAGGGAGUCAUGAGACAUCAAUCAACAUAUGUAAGAAGUACACUGGUUCCAUCCAGAAAGGCGGGGACAACUUGAAGCAGGGGAGGAGUCUUCCAGGUCACAGACCACGUUGAUGAGCGAACAAUAUGCAAUGGAAUUGCCCCGGAAAAAGAUGUAGAUGGAUUUCAUAUUAUCAAUAUUGGAAGAUUGUGCCUUGAUCAGCAUUCUCUCAUACCUGCCACUGCCAGUGCUGUUUGGGAAAUAAUAAAAAGAACAGGAAUUCAAACAUUUGGAAAAAAUGUGGUUGUGGCUGGAAGAUCCAAGAAUGUAGGGAUGCCUAUUGCCAUGCUUUUACACACUGAUGGAGAGCAUGAACGGCCAGGAGGUGAUGCAACUGUGACAAUAGCUCACAGAUACACCCCCAAAGAGCAACUGAAGAUUCAUACGCAGCUGGCAGAUAUUAUCAUAGUUGCUGCAGGUAUUCCAAAGUUGAUUACGUCUGAUAUGGUUAAAGAAGGUGCUGCUGUAAUUGAUGUGGGUAUCAACUAUGUCCACGAUCCAGUGACAGGAAAGACAAAAUUAGUUGGAGAUGUGGACUUUGAAGCUGUUAAAAAGAAAGCUGGCUUUAUCACUCCAGUUCCGGGAGGUGUGGGACCCAUGACAGUGGCAAUGCUUCUGAAGAACACCCUUCUGGCAGCUAAAAAAAUCAUUUACUAGAUCACAUGAAAGGAUAAAGCAAACUGAAGUCAUGCUAUUUGUUUAUUUGACAAAGGGUAAAACCUUUAUAUUUUACUACAAAGCUAUUUAUCUCUACAUGGUAUUUAUUUUUUCAUGGAUGAAAUCAUUGUGAAUCAAAUGAUUCACAUAAUUUUAUGCAUUUCCUGCUAAUUUAUUUUGAGUUUUAAGAGAACAACCAAAACAAUUCCAAUGAAAAUUUUAGUAACAAUUGUUUAUUUUGAGGGUAUUUGUUCAUAACAUUAAAACAAUAAAGGGCUCAUAAUAAAUAAAUAUAUUUUUGACACAAUUUAAUAUUACAUAGAGUAUGUUUACAACAAAUAUCCUGUCAGCCAAAUGGUUAUCCAUAUAAAAUGUAAUUUAGGUUUUGCUAUUUGCAUGCUCACAUUUUUAAUAUAUUUUAUGAUCUAUGUCAUAUGCUAAAAAAGAGCUUGCUUACUACAAGAAAAAUAUUGAAAUAUUGAAAAUAUUAUUAUUGAAAAUAAAAUCUUGAUCUCAACUAUCCCCCAAAUGCAUCCUAUAAGUCCAUCCUAAUGAGAAAUUAUGUUCUAUUUAAGGAAAGGAAAAUAUUCCGGGAAGGCAAAAAAUGCAAUGCUAUUUGGAAGUGUAAUGAUUUUAUCACAUUGUGAAUGACUACUUGCCACAGUAAAAAUACAUGAAGAAUGUGUUAGGCUUAAAUGGCAUUUCUUUCUUCUAAAAAAUAUUUGGAUAGUACCUUCAAUGAGC